GAUGAAUGCUGGCGGCGUGCCUAACACAUGCAAGUCGAGCGGCAGCGCGAGUAGUUUACUACUUGGCGGCGAGCGGCGGACGGCUGAGUAACGCGUGAGAACGUGCCCCAAAGUGAGGAAUAACUGCCCGAAAGGGUGGCUAAUGCCGCAUAUAAUCUUCGGAUUAAAGGAUUUAUCCGCUUUGGGAGCGGACCGGGUCGGAUUAGGUUGUUGGUGAGGUAAUGGCGCACCAAGCCGACGAUCCGUAGCUGGUCUGAGAGGAUGAGCAGCCAGACUGGGACUGAGACACGGCCCAGACUCCUACGGGAGGCAGCAGUGGGGAAUAUUGGACAAUGGGCGGAAGCCUGAUCCAGCCAUGCCGCGUGUGUGAAGAAGGCCUUUUGGUUGUAAAGCACUUUAAGCGAGGAGGAGGCUCUUAAGGUUAAUACCCUUGAUGAGUGGACGUUACUCGCAGAAUAAGCACCGGCUAA
rnacentral:rRNA from 1 species